UACAGAGGAUGCAAGCGUUAUCCGGAAUGAUUGGGCGUAAAGCGUCCGCAGGUGGCGAUGUAAGUCUGCUGUUAAAGAGUGAGGCUCAACCUCAUAAGAGCAGUGGAAACUACAUAGCUAGAGUACGUUCGGGGCAGAGGGAAUUCCUGGUGUAGCGGUGAAAUGCGUAGAGAUCAGGAAGAACACCAGUGGCGAAGGCGGCGAUCUGGGAAGAUACUGACGCUGAGGUGCGAAAGCGUGGGGAGCAAACAGG
rnacentral:rRNA from 1 species